rnacentral:rRNA from 1 species
AGAGUUUGAUCCUGGCUCAGAAUGAACGCUGGCGGCGUGCUUUACACAUGCAAGUCGAGCGAGGCGGCCCGCAAGGGUCAGUCGAGCGGCGAACGGGUGAGUAACGCGUGGAUUAUCUACCCUGAGGUGGGGGAUAACCCGGGGAAACUCGGGCUAAUACCGCAUGAUACCGUGAGGUCAAAGGGGGCUCGCAAGGGCUCUCGCCAUAGGAGGAGUCCGCGUCCGAUUAGCUAGUUGGUAGGGUAAUGGCCUACCAAGGCAACGAUCGGUAGCCGGCCUGAGAGGGUGAUCGGCCACACUGGAACUGAGACACGGUCCAGACUCCUACGGGAGGCAGCAGUGGGGAAUUUUGCGCAAUGGGCUAACGCCUGACGCAGCAACGCCGCGUGGAGGAUGAAGGUCUUUGGAUUGUAAACUCCUGUCGACCGGGAAAAAGCAACUCGACCUAACACGUCGGGGAGUUGAUUGUACCGGUGGAGGAAGCCCCGGCUAACUCUGUGCCAGCCGCCGCGGUAAUAC